AACGAACGCUGGCGGCAUGCCUAACACAUGCAAGUCGAACGAGACCUUCGGGUCUAGUGGCGCACGGGUGCGUAACGCGUGGGAAUCUGCCCUUCGGUUGGGAAUAACUGAGAGAAAUUUCAGCUAAUACCUUAUAAUGUCUUCGGACCAAAGAUUUAUCGCCGAGGGAUGAGCCCGCGUAGGAUUAGGUAGUUGGUGGGGUAAUGGCCCACCAAGCCGACGAUCCUUAGCUGGUCUGAGAGGAUGAUCAGCCACACUGGGACUGAGACACGGCCCAGACUCCUACGGGAGGCAGCAGUGGGGAAUAUUGGACAAUGGGCGAAGGCCUGAUACAGCAAUGCCGCGUGAGUGAUGAAGGCCUUAGGGUUGUAAAGCUCUUUUACCCGGGAUGAUAAUGACAGUACCGGGAGAAUAAGCUCCGGCUAACUCCGUG
rnacentral:rRNA from 1 species